CGCCUCUUGCAUUCUAUGUAUAAGAGGUCCCGCCUGCCCUGUGACUAUAUGUUUAACGGCCGCGGUAUUUUGACCGUGCAAAGGUAGCGCAAUCACUUGUCUUUUAAAUAAAGACCUGUAUGAAUGGCAUGACGAGGGCUUAACUGUCUCCCUCUCCCGGUCAAUGAAAUUGAUCUCCCCGUGCAGAAGCGGGGAUAUUAUUAUAAGACGAGAAGACCCUGUGGAGCUUUAAAUGAUGAGAGAUUUUAUGCAACAAACCUAAAAAGGUAUAAGCGAAUUUAUACUCCCUCUAAUAUUUUUGGUUGGGGCGACCGCGGAGUAAAAAGAAACCUCCGUGAGGAAUGAGGUAAUUAACCUUAAAUCCCAGAACGACAAUUCAAAGAAACAAAAUUUUUGACCUAAAGAUCCGGCAAAGCCGAUCAACGAACCUAGUUACCCCAGGGAUAACAGCGCAAUCCCCUUCAAGAGUCCCUAUCGACAAGGGGGUUUACGACCUCGAUGUUGGAUCAGGAUAUCCUAAUGGUGUAGCCGCUAUUAAGGGUUCGU
rnacentral:rRNA from 1 species